AUCAACUUUCGAUGGUAGGAUAGAGGCCUACCAUGGUGGUAACGGGUAACGGGGUGUUAGGGCACGACACCGGAGAGGGAGCCUGAGAAACGGCUACCACAUCCAAGGAUGGCAGCAGGCGCGCAAAUUACCCAAUCCCGACACGGGGAGGUAGUGACAAUAAAUAACAAUACGGGGUUCUAUAGGAUUUCGUAAUUGGAAUGAGUACAAUUUAAAUCUCUUAACGAGGAACAAUUGGAGGGCAAGUCUGGUGCCAGCAGCCGCGGUAAUUCCAGCUCCAAUAGCGUAUAUUAAAGUUGUUGCAGUUAAAAAGCUCGUAGUUGAAUUUCGGGAUCAUCAGGUUGGUCGUGCCUCUGGUAUGUACUGAUUUCGAUGGUCCCUCCUUCUUGAAGAGCCGUAAUGCCAUUAAUUUGGUGUUGCGGGGAAUCAGGACUGUUACUUUGAAAAAAUUAGAGUGUUUAAAGCAGGCAAUCGCUUGAAUACAUUAGCAUGGAAUAAUGAAAUAGGACGUUCGAUCCUAUUUUGUUGGUUUCUAGGAUUGACGUAAUGAUUAAUAGGGAUAGUUGGGGGCAUUAGUAUUCAAUUGUCAGAGGUGAAAUUCUUGGAUUUAUUGAAGACUAACUACUGCGAAAGCAUUUGCCAAGGAUGUUUUCAUUAAUCAAGAACGAAAGUUAGGGGAUCGAAGACGAUCAGAUACCGUCGUAGUCUUAACCAUAAACUAUGCCGACUAGGGAUCGGAUGAUGUUAAUUUUUUAAUGACUCAUUCGGGGCCUUACGGGAAACCAAAGGGUUUGGGUU
rnacentral:rRNA from 1 species